AUGAACUUCUUCUGGAAAAAUGGAAUGUAUGUAUUGUUUCCUAUUUCUCCUGCAAAGUACAGAUAAAAUCCCUGGAGAUUAUAUAUGAAACAACCACAAGAAGACAGAAAGGUGAAAAGAAAAAGGCAGACAAGAUAGAGACCUCAGGACCAAGGAAUGGCAUUGUGCCAAGAGGAAAUAGUCUCCAAUCAAUAACUUAAACUCCCACCUCAAGAAACAAGAAAAAGAAGAGCAAAAUAAAUCCAAAGCAAGCAUAAGGAUGGAAAUAAUAAAGGUAAGAGCAGAAGUCAAUAGGGUUGACAAGAGAAAAACAAUACAGAAAAUCAAUAAACAAAAAUUUAUUCUUCGAAAACUUUGAAAACUCUUCAUAGAAAAAGAAACUCUACUGUAAUCAAUGUUGAAAAUAUAAAACUUUGGUGGGGGGGGAAUAUCUGCAACACCUAUUACAAAGACUAAGUUUCUUAACAUAUGGAAAGUUCCUAGCAGUCAAUAAGAAAAAUGACCAACAGCCUAUUCAAAAAAUGGGCAAAAGAAAAUGAGCAACAGUUCACAGAACACUGAACAUGUCUUUACAUACUCCAAAUGUUAAGAUUAAGAGGUUUGAUAAUAUAUUAAUUUAUGAUAAUAUAAUAAAAAUAUGAGAAAAUAACCUCAUAUAUUGUUGAUGGAGCUGUAAACUCUCUGAAAUCACAUUUUAUUUGGUCCAGCAACUCCAGUUUGAUGAAUUUACACUACAGAUAUACCUACACAUAUUUUAAAAUACUUAUACAAAAGGAUAUUUAUUGUACAUUGUUGCAGUAGCAAAAGAUGGACUAUAACCUAAAUGUCCAUCAAUAGGAGACUGAUUCAAUUAUUGUGCAUUUAUGCUAUGAAAUAUCAUGCAGUCAUUAAACAAAAAAUAUUUGAUGUGGUGGAUUGAAAACAUGUUCACAAAUCCUUGCCACUCCAAUCAAGAUGUGGAGUCUGACUGUUUACUACCAUUUUAAAAUGUUUUCUUACAUGAAUGUGGUAUUUAAACACAAUUUGGAAUUUUACCUUGUAUAACUUAAGAAGCAGAGAGAGUUUGUUUAGGGGGUAGAUCUUCCUUCUAUGAAGCAAAUGUUCCAUUAUUUCCUUCUGGUUAGAAGUAUCAGUCCCAGAGAAUGAUUCUAUGGCUCCUAAAAUAACACUACUUAUAAUGACACCUAGUCAGAGCUAGAUUGACUGAUUAUUUUCUUAGAUAACAGCCUUUUUGAGAAAGAUCACAUAUUUACAUCAAACCUGGCUGUUUACAUUGUACAAGUUAAAGGUUUUUAGUAUAUUAACAGAGUUGUGCAACCAUUACCACAAUCAAUUUUAAGAUAUUUUUAACAUCCUUCCCCAAAUCUUACAUCCUUUAGCAGUCACUCCUAAUCUCUUCUUCCCUAGCCCAUGGCAACCACUAAUACACCUUCUCUCUCUAUGGAUUUACCUAUUCUGAACAUUUCGUAUAAGUGGAUUCAUACAAUGUGUGGUCUUUUGUGUCUGGCUUCUUUUACUUAGCAUAAUGAUUUCAGGUUUAUUCAUGUUGUAGCACGUAGCAGUACUUCAUUUUUUAUUGCCAAAUAAUAUUCCAUUUUAUGGAUAUGCCAUAUUUUGGUUAUCCAUUCAUCAGUUGAUGGACAUUUGAGUCAUUUUUGCCUUUUAAUUACUACAAAUAAUGCUGCUAUGAGCAUUUAUGUACACGUUUAUGUGUAUAUCUAUGUAUUGAAUUAUUUUAGAUAUAUGCCUAGGAGGAGAAUUGCUGGUCCACAUGGAAAUUCUGUUGAACCUUUUGAGGGACAGUCAGGCUAUUUUCUGAAGUGGUUGAACCAUUUUACAUUCUCACCAGUAAUGUGUGAGAGUUCUGUUUCCUCCAACUCCUUGCCAGCACUUGUUAUUAUAUGUCUGAUUAUAACCAUCCUAGUGAGUGUGAAGUAAUAUACCUCAUAUACCUUUAUAUAUUUUGGAUAUUUAUAAGAGCCUGAUCAGACAUAUGAUAUUCAAGUUUUUUCUCCCAUUCUGUGAGUUUUUUUUUUUCAUUUUCUGUUUUGUAGCAAAUUAUAUAGUUUGCUUUUUAAGGAAAUCUAAUUAUUUAUUUGAUAAUUGUGCAUAUAAAAGUUAGAAGUGAGAACAUAACGAGUUAGGAGUGCAGCCUCUGAAUUCAUAUAUAUCUGGACGUCCAAACUUAACAGACUUUUUCCUGCUUAAAAUCAUGAAAGUAAUUUUGUUUAGGUAGCCAUUCUGGCAUGUUUGUCCAACCAUACUCUUAAGGGAAACCUUAAAUAUUAAUCCAGUCAUAGUGACUCAAUUCACAUUGCCAUUGAUUGCUAACAGUGAUGAUGUGACAAUUCUUUUUCCUUUAAUAGAUUUAUUGAGAUAAAAUUCACAUGCCAUAAAAUUCACCCAUUUAACGUAUACAGCCAUUUAACAUAUAGAUUUUACCUAUUUAACGUAACACCCAUUUAACGUAUAGAUUUUUAAUGUAUUUACAGAACUGUGCAACCAUCACCACAAUUUAGUUUUAGAACAUUUUCACCAUCCCAAAGGGAAGCCCUGUACCCAUAAUCAGUCACUUCCAAUUCUCUCCCUGCCCUAGCCCCUGGCAGGCACUAAUCUACUUUCUGUCUUUAUAGAUUUACCUAUUCUGGACAUUUCACAUAAGUAUAGAGUUAUACAAUAUGCAGCCUUUUCUAUAUGGCUUUUUCCAUUUGGUAUGGUGUUUUCAGGGUUCAUCUAUGUUGCAGGAUGUAUCAGUACUUCAUUCCUAGAUAUGGUUUGGAUUUGUGUCCUCGCCCAAAUCUCAUGUUGAAUUAUAAUCUCCAUUGUUGGAGGAGGGGCCUGGUGGGAUGUAAUUGGAUUAUGAGGGUGGAUUUCCUCCUUGCUGUUCUUGUGAUAGUGAGUGAGUUCUCAUGAGAUCUGGUUGUUUAAUGGUGUGUAGCACCUCCCCCUUGGCACUCUCUUCCUCCUGCUUCUGCCAUGUAGGACAUGCCUGCUUCCCCUUCACUUUCCACCACGAUUGUAAGUUUCCUGAGGCCGCCCCAGCCAUGUUUCCUGUACAGCCUGCAGAACUGUGACUCAAUUAAACAUCUUUUCUUUAUAAAUUACCCAGUCUCAGGUAGUUCUUUAUAGCAAUGCAAGAAUGGACUCAUACAUGCGGCAUGUAUCAGUACGUCAUUCCUUUUCAUGAUUGAAUAAUAUUCCAUUGUAUGGAUGUACCACAGUGUGUUUAUCCAUUCAUCCAUUGAUGGACAUGGAUAAACAUGUUGGGUUCUUUUCAACUUUGGGCUAUUUUAAAUAAUGUUUCUGUGAAAAUUAUUGUACAAUUUUUUGUGUGGACAUAUAUUUCCAUUUUUUCUUUGCUAGAUACACCAGAAAGGAAAUGCUAGGUCACAUUUUAACCAUGUUAAAUUAUAAUCAACAUGUAACCUUUUGAGGGACUGUCUGUUUUAUACAGUGGAUAUACCGUUUUGCAUUUCCACAAUGGGAAAUUGAACUUUCCAGUUUCUCCACAUUCUUGCUAAUAAGCUGAUUCUUUUUUUUUUUUUUUUUUUAGAUGGACUCUCGCUCCUUCACCCAGGCUGGAGUGCAGUGGCGUGAUCUUGGCUCACUGCGGGCUCUGCCCCCCAGGGUUCACGCCAUUCUCCUGCAUCAGCACCCCGCGUAGCUUGGACUACAGGUGCCCGCCACCUCGCCUGGCUAAUUUUUUGUAUUUUUAGUAGAGACGGGGUUUUACCUUGUUAGACAGGAUGGUCUCGAUCUCCUGACCUCGUGAUCCACCCGCCUCAGCCUCCCAAAGUGCUGGGAUUACAGGCAUGAGCCACUGCGCCCGGCCAAUAAGCUGAUUCUUAAUGGAGAUGACAGGAACCUAGAAACCAAAGAGGAUCAUGAGAAAGAGAAGUAGUCAGGGAAUCAGGUCAGAGACAAGGAAACAAACAAAGGAUUGGAAGGCUCAUGGAUUCAUAGCAACCAAAACUUCAAGUAGUUUAGAUAUUAUGCCUGCCUAGAUUCAGAGCCCCUGCUCUUCCCACUGUAUUAUAUUUCUCUAUGAGAAAUUUUUAAAAUGGAAAUGAGGGAAAAGUGAGUUAGAGGAAGAGGAUAGGAAAGCACUUAAUGAGAUUGAAAGCUACCAAAAUUAUCCUUUCUCUGUUGAAGCAGAAAUAACAAAGUCCCAACUUCAGGCACUGAACAAUGGAAGUCAUAUCUGAUCCUUGAAGAGGAUGGCUCUUCCUUUACCCUGAAUUGAAUCUAUGUUCAUCUGCCACCACUGUGCCAUUUAUCACUUCCAAUCACAUUCAAAGAAGUAGCGAUAUCUCAUUCCCAAGGUUCUGCAUCCCCCUGUUUAGCCUUUCCCACCCACAUGGGCUCUGCGGUUUUGAAGAUGUCUUGUUGGUUUUUCUGCAGCCUGGGACCAGGACACCACACGCUCAAUGGAUGUUGUAAGGAAUUACAGGUGAUGUUUGUGUCUUGUGAGUAUGGAUGUGGAGAUCAUACCCUUCAGUUAAGAAUAAUUCUAAUUCUACUAUCCACUAGUCUUUUUCAUAAAAUGGAGUUGCAAAGCCUCCCAAAGCUGUCUCCUGUUAGUGGUCAUUAUCCUUAUUGCAUUCUGUUUUUUCCACUAUUUAAAUGAAGACAUACUGCCCGGCAUCUCCCCCAGGCACAAGUUCUACUAGUAAUGACAAUUUUUUCAUUAAUACCAAUUGUAUACAUAAUCUUAUUGAGUUUCCACAAUAACCUAGAGAGAAAGAAACUGUGAUUACCUUUAGGUUUUAUAUGAGGAAACUGAGACUAUCGUGCCUUUGGAUUGAUCAGAGGCUGAAUUUAAAGAUAAGUGAACAUUGUUGGACAAACAAAAGACCUCCCAGCUCUCAAAACAAUAUCUACUGGAGGUAGGUGGAAGAGAAGGUGGGUAGAAUUAGGGUUUUCAAUGUGGACAAUAAUCAAGUACAAAGGAGACAGUUAUCUAUCCAGAUGGUUUAGACUAAUGAUUCCCAACAUGCUUCAUGUUGUGACAUGCUAAUUUUGUCUAAUUUUAUUAAUUCCCUGAAGCAAUAUGUGGGUUCUUAAAAGUAAUUAAAGUAGAAUUAAAUGUUAUGUUAAUUAAACAUGGCUUUAAAUGAAUUUGAGAUGAUGUGAAUUGGUUUUGCCCCUUGGGAUAACUGCAAAGUGCCUAUCCUGAUUUUGUGACAACUCAGAGUAUUAGGAACUGAAAUCUUCAGAAACUUGAAAGAGGUGACUGAGCCAGAAUAUCUAUCAGGUCCCUGAGUUUGCAUCUUAGAAGUUUUGUCCUAGUUGUCAUUUGGUACCUGUGGGAGGUAAUUCCAGUGUUAUGGUAAAGUUCAUUCUAGAGAUGAAUAAUCCUCCUCAGAUUUACCUUUCUUUUUAUCUUUUUCUUUUGGGCUGCUCCUUCUCCUUCAUGCUAUCACUAUAGUAAGGCAACUGGACCGCCAUGCUUUUUGGAUUCACUCCCCAUUUACCUCUCUGUCCUGCUUAGAUUUCUCCCACUUUCGGUUCCCAUGGCCAGGGUCCUGUCUAACCUAUUUUCCAAGCAUCAAAAGUGUCUUUACAAAUCUGUUCUGCAACUCCCACUACUGAUGACUUCUGUGAUAUUCCUCCUUUGGUCAAGUUGGUCUUCUUUCCUCCUCCUCUGUGACUUGGAAGCCUUUAGUUCCCACUAUACCAUAUCCAUAAGGAUUCAUUAUUCUUAACAUUGUCAGUUGGCCCUCUGCUCCAGAUCAUGCACAUGUCCUUCUACCCCUCACCUCCCACCUGACUGCUCUCAGCCUGUGCUAUAGACUCAGGGUGUUUGCCUGAUUCCCCUUGACCCCCAUCCUUGGGGUAGACACUUACUGGGCUGAGAUAGGCUGGUUUCAGUGCCCGUGCCAAGGUAGUCUGCAUGUUCCACUGCAUAAUCUGAGGACAAAUGUCUGGUAAAAUCUUUCAGAAUUCCAGUCAUUUCUCCUGUCCGCCUGUUCAAACUGAAGUUUCAUUUAAAGCCUUUGUGUUUACGAGAGGUUUGAUCAUAGAAGGCAAAUCUUCCCAGUAAUGUCAUUUAGCCUAUGUUUUUAUUUCUGCAUUUAAUAAAAUGCAGUCAAAUUCCAAAUUGUGUAUUUCACUCUUGCUUGAGCAUAUUGAUAGAAGCUGUUGUCAGCUAUGUGUUCUUCCUAUCAAUCAGUCUUUUCAAAGUUCUUUGUUAACAAUUAGUCAUCAGGGUUCAUCCAUACAUUGUUGUAUUACACAAUCAAUCAUUAAACUCAAGGGGAAAAAUGCUUAUUGAUGUGCAUAUUUUUCCCGAUAUAUUUUAAGUGAAAAGAGCAGGGUAAAAAACCGUAUUACAUUAUUAUUCUAUUACAAACACAUUUACACACACACACACACACACACACCCCCCAUGAAUAUAUUUUAAAUGGAAGAUUAAAAGGACACCAAAGUGCUAACAGUGAUUGUCUCUAGGUGCCAAGAUUGAUCAAUUUAUAUGUUCCCCUUCCUUCUCCAUAUUUUCCAAUUUCUCAAUAAUGAGUGUGUAAUUCUUUUAUAGUCAGGAAAAAGUAAUUUUAGAUAAUUCAAUUAGUUAUCAAGGUCAACCAGCAUGUGUGGAAAAGGUGACAAUUCUUACUGAAGAGAAAUUAACACCUUUAUUGUUAUGAAUUGAGGUUACUUUUUAAAGUAGGAACCUAUCUCUAAAAUUAAAAUGGAAGUGGAAACUUACUGAGUUUGAAAGAAUCAUUUUACAUAUCACUUUUCAAGUAAAACCAAUUUCUAUUUUGCUUUUUCUUCAAGUGCUUAAACAUUUUCUCUUCUGGGGCCCUUAUUUUAUGCUCCCCAAGAGAAAGGGCCAUGUCUCCUAUUUCCUUUGGCAUCUCCCACCCCCUCCCCACUCUCUUUCCUGUACUGCUAUACACCCAAGAAUAAGUCAGUGCACACGAUGUGCACGCAGAAAAUGUUUGUUAAUGGACUUGGUUAUUUCCGUUUUCUACUAAAUCUCAUCCUAGUCAUGUUUUCAGAAUCAUAGAACAUGGCUCCUUACUCCUCAGAAGCCUGGUAUCUCUCCCUACUGCUCUUGCUUAGUGCCCUGGGUCCCAGAACUCCACCCUUAGAUCUUCACUCUUGCAGUGUGAGGUAGACCCCAGCCAGUUCCGAGCUCCAGGGCCCUUGCAAGGAUGCCAGGUUUACGCCAGCCAUUUUCCCUGACUCAUGGGGGCUUGGCCAGCAGGUCAGUCACUACCCAGGAGGCCAGUCACUACCCAGUCUCGAACAUUCCUCCCUGAAUCAGAUGCUGCUGACUGGAUACCUCCAAGAAUCCCAGUGGGUUGACAGAAGUGUCAGCUUUAGGCCAAAGGAGUCUCUGGGAUGUCCUUGCCUUGGACAGAAGCUGGGGACCACACAGCCAGCUGACUCUGCUGCCCUGCCUUUGGGGUUAUAGCAUCUUGCCACUGGGCCCCCCAAACUAUCCUUUCCCUCAAUACCUGCUCAUUUGCUCAGGUCCCCGGAUCCAGCCUAGGGACUGUCUCGGCAGGGUCCUUCUAUCAGAGAGCCCAGGACCAGAUGCUGCUCUGAGCACCACCACCCAGAGCAGCACCAGGGAGGGAUGCCCAGCCCAGAAUAGCUGGAGCAGCCCCCCUGCCCCCACCCCCUGCCGACCAGGGAAGCUGACUGAGCUCACCCUGAGUGUGCUGGGGGGCAGAGGAGACCAUGCAGAUGUGCUGAGAGCUCCCUGGAAAGCAAGGCUCAGCUUCUUCUGCUACUGUCACCAGCAGAUGGAGAGAGGGGUCAGUAUUUAUCCUCUUGUAACACCUGAGGGGACAGAGUUGCUGACAUGUCUCAUAGAGUCCUUGUCCCCCACCUCCCUCACCCAUUGCCCACACUCCCUCAUCCUCUCACUUCAAGAGGCCUUGUUACCCCCCUAAAGGCCUGGAUUAGGCUCCACUGGUUAAAAAUCUUGUUCUAACUCCAAGUCCCCUAGAAUGUCCAUACCUUUAAGGGCUGGCACUGGUGCAGCAGGACUGAGGUAGAGACCCCAGAGAUUCACUUACAUAGCUGUUUCCAGUAGCCAAAUGACCAGGGACCACUAUUUAUGAGACAAUAGGAUAUCCCUUUCCUGAGAACAUGUUGGCCAAGCAGCAGAAGUGGGUGUGUUGUCCCUGAGGCUGAAUUUGGUGGUCUUGAGACCUAGCAUAGUGAGGCCAAACACUGACUUGGAUGGGUGCUGAGCCUGUGAAGGAAAAAACUCUACCAGAGAAACCUGACUGGGUUCGCUUUGUUUGUACAGAUCUAGUGGAGUUCCCCUUAAGCCUGAGAGGCCACUGGAGCCUGAGAGGCCACUGGAGACCAAGUCUGGUUAUACGCUGUAGAAGCUGGGUAAAUACCAUUUGGAGCACAGGUCUGCAGCAGAUCCAGAGUAAAUAAAACCUGAUACCUGCAUUGGACAUCUAAAAAAUGUUGAAUCUGGCAAGCUAUAAAUGAUAACAUGAAACAGUUAUUGAGUGUGUGCGAUGUCUGGAUACUAUUCUAACCAAUGUGAAUGCAUCAUCGCAUUUAAACCUCGCAGCAAAUUUAAGAAGAAAAAAAUCUUCCAUGUCCUUGAGCCAGUUACCAGAGAAGAGCAGAAAUCCAGGGAGGACAAGGGAUUGACCUGGGUAGUAUUGAGCUGGAAGGUAAAAGCAAUGAACAAAAAGAGGUUCAGAUUCCUUAUUUUGGAGCGACAGUGUCAACAAGAAACAUCUGCCAAACCACAAGGACCAUGUAGAAGCUGGUGUCCCAGGAGGUAAGAUUUUCUACCUUUCCUCCAUUGCACAACAAGCUAUAACCAUGCCUGGUGGAGAAAAUGGAUGAAUAAGGAAGGUUAGCUGUGAGUGAAUUUCAAUUCUGCUAAUGUUUUUUGAACCAUUACCAGAUAACCAGGCCCUGUGUGGGACCUAGGUGGGAGCCAAAAAAAAAAAAAAAAAUGGCUCUAUCCACUUAAAGGGUUUCAAUCUAGGCAGACAAAACAGAAUAUCAGAAAAUUGCACAAAGAAUUUCAUAAGAAGGGCAAGCGUCAUAAUGCUACAAAAGGCAUGCAAAGUGCAAUGGGAGAACAGAAUAUGCACACUCAGUUUCCUCUGAAAUGUCAGGAAAAGCUACCUAGAAACGAAGAUAGGAUUUAAAUUUGGAUUUAGUAAAUGAAUAGAACUUGGACAAACAGGGCAUGGAGAGAUUUACAUAUCAUAUUUACGAGUUUCAAAUUUAUCUUAUAGGCAAAGAGAGACGUGGAAAUUUUAAGCAAUUUGGAGGGUAGAAGAAGGCUGAUGUGGUCGGAUUUACAUUUAAACCUCUGUGGUUGUUGUGUGAAAGUAGAUUUCACAAAAUCCGGGAUGGAUUCAGGGAGAAGGGUUAAAGGACCAUUUAGCUAAUCCUGGCAAAAAAAAAAAAAAAAAAAAAAAAAAAAGAGU